rnacentral:rRNA from 1 species
UACGUAGGUGGCAAGCGCUGUCCGGAUUUACUGGGCGUAAAGGAUGCGCAGGCGGACAUUUAAGUCAGAUGUGAAAUACCCGAGCUCAACUUGGGUGCUGCAUUUGAAACUGGAUGUCUAGAGUGCAGGAGGGGUAAGUGGAAUACCUAGUGUAGCGGUGAAAUGCGUAGAGAUUAGGAAGAACACCAGUGGCGAAGGCGACUUACUGGACUGUAACUGACGCUGAGGCAUCAAAGCUUGGGGAGCAACCAGG